rnacentral:rRNA from 1 species
GAUGAACGCUGGCGGCGUGCCUAAUACAUGCAAGUCGAGCGAACGGACGAGAAGCUUGCUUCUCUGAUGUUAGCGGCGGCCGGGUGAGUAACACGUGGAUAACCUACCUAUAAGACUGGGAUAACUUCGGGAAACCGGAGCUAACACCGGAUAAUAUCUUGAACCGCCUGGUUCAAAAGUGAAAGACGGUCUUGCUGUCACUUAUAGAUGGAUCCGCGCUGCAUUAGCUAGUUGGUAAGGUAACGGCUUACCAAGGCAACGAUGCAUAGCCGAACUGAGAGGAUGAUCGGCCGCACGGGGACGGAGACACGCACCAAACUCCGGAGGGAGGCAGCAGUAGGGAAUCUUCCGGAAUGGGCGGAAGGCAGACGGAGCAACGCCGCGCAAGUGAGGCAGGGCUUCGGAUCGUGAAACUCUGUUAUUAGGGGGGAACAUAUGUGUAUGUAUAUGUACGCAAACUGACGGUACCUGGUCAGAAAGCCACGGCUAACUACGUG